GUCGUGGUGGCCGAGGUGGUAAAGGCGUUGGGCUCGAAAUUUAAUGGGGUUCCCCUGCGCAUGUUCGAAUCCUGCCUGCGACG
rnacentral:tRNA from 1 species